GGACUGGUUAACUCAGUUGGUUUGAGCGUGGUACUGAUAACACCAAGGUUGCGGGUUCGAUCCCCAUUCGGUCCC
rnacentral:tRNA from 1 species